rnacentral:lncRNA from 1 species
GAGAGAGCCAGAGUCGCUACAGCCAGCCUGGCAGUGCAAGCCCGGAGCUGACACAGGGCCACAGCCACGAUGCAGCCACUAAUGCGGACCCUUGGGCUGAGCCUGCUUUCCAUGCUGUGAGCCCAGGGGACCCAGAUGGUUCCUGUCCCCGCUGAGAAGGUGGAAGGACUGUGGCACGCCCUGCGCUGGGAGCAGGACAGGGAGCUACUUAAAGAGGAGACGGCUCACCCUCUGCCACCAUUCUGGAUCCAGCGUUUCCAGGGUAACUUUAUGUUAAAAAUGAAUGUAAGGUUCAGUCAGCAGGUCCCUUUUUAACUGGAUCAUGUGCUGAAGAACGCCACACACGGAGGGCUUGCUCAGGCUCUGGGCUCAGCCCAGGACCUUCCUGCCCCAAGCACCUCACCACAAUCUCUCACAGGCACUUCUGUAAGGUGGGACAGUCCAGUUGCAGGAAAAUGAGCUCAGGGCUCCCACCGAUUCUACACUAUGGGAUCCCACUGGGAACUGCACAGUAUUUAAGACACUGCUGGUGAAAACAGACAACUCUACCACGUACAGAAUCUGGUGCACACAAUGAACCUGACAGGCGCGUGUCCACGCUGAUGUCACGGGGCCUGUGGACGGGGGCCUGUGGACGGGGGCGCUGCCCCUUGGAGUCCUCCCUAACUCAGCCAUGCCCAGGUUCCUGCGUGGUCGGCUGUAACUGAGGUGAGUGCCACAAGGCCUCUGCGUGUGUUCAGAGUGUCCACACCAGACUCCGGCCGGACUCAUGGGCCCUGGGACUCCGCAGCCCUCGACCUUGGCAGCCUCCUUGCCUGUGGGUGCUUGAAUGCCACGCAGCAUCCGACACAUCCCACAACCUUGAGUCUGCUAUGAGUCAAGUGUGGUCGCUGUAGAUAAGGAGGAAAAAAGAUCAUGAAAAAGAACAACAACAACAAAAAAUCACUCAUGGCCGGGCGCGGUGGCUCAUGCCUGUAAUCCCAGCACUUUGGGAGGCCAAGGCAGGCAGAACACGAGGUCAAGAGAUCAAAACCAUCCUGGCUAACACGGUGAAACCCUGUCUCUACUAAAAAUACAAAAUAUUAGUCAGGUGUGGCGGCAGGCGCCUAUAAUCCCAGCUACUCGGGAGGCUGAGGCAGGAGAAUGGCGUGAACCCAGGAGGUGGAGCUUGCAGUGAGCCGAGAUCGCGCCACUGCACUCCAGCCUGGGCAACAGAGCAAGACUCCAUUUCAAAAACAAACAAACAAAAAUCACUCCUAAGCUCACCACCCAGGCCAAUGUACUCCAGAAAAAGGGAGAAGGCUUCACCACCUCCCUGUGUGAUUUCAUGUCCCAAGCUCUGUGUCUCAGGGUGUAGGAAGCCCUCUGUUGAAUAAGUCCACCCUCCCUGGCCACAGCCUUAGUCCUACUUGCUGUUUGGGAACAGAAGAUCCCUGCCCGGUGCCUACAGAGGGGUGGGCAGAGGCUGAAACCCUCCUCCAUCUUCCCUCCCAGGCCCCAGGAGCCGAAGAUUCCUCUUCUCACGACAUGAAGCUCCCCUCCCCUCCUCCAGUCCUCAGCUUUCCUUUCUAAGAGAGAAGAGACCGGGGCCUGGGCAGUGAGUGGACAGGACUGUCCCCCUGUCCUCCUCUGUAGGUGCACGCCCCUACAGGUGACACCUCUGGGUCCUCCACACCCUCAGUAGGAGCUCCAGGGCAUGGCUGGUCUCCCAGCCACACGGGAAGCCACAGGAUCCCCAUGGGACAUCCCCAGCCACGUGCCACACUCAGUAACCACCCGUGGGCUUGUGUGCAAAUCCCUGAAGUCAGUGAUGGCUCAAAUGUCGUCUCUGCCACCGUGGAGGUUGGCCAUGGGGGAAAGGUGACGGGGGCAGAAGGGUGAGGGCUCCAAGUGGCUCGAGGAAGGGGCCAUGGUGUGAGCAGGGGCACGGGCGGGCAGUCAAGGAGCUGGGAAGGGCCAGCCAGUCCUGCCCUGGAGCCUCCGGGAGGAGCCAGCGCUGCGGACACCUUGGCUGUAGCCAGGGAGGCUCACUUUGGACUUCCAACCUCCACACCUGUCAGAGGCCACGAGUGUUUAGCCAUUAAAGAAACCUCCAGGGGCUGCGGUGACAAAUGACCACAGACUCAGGAGCUGAACACAACGCACAUGCAUUGUCUCACAAUUCUGGAGUCAAAAGUCUAGAAACAGUCGGUGGGGCUGGUUCCUUCUGGAGACUUCUGGGAAGGGGAGAAGCCGCUUUCUUGGCUUUCCCAGUUUCUGGAGUGGCUGCAUCCUGCACUCUCGGCCCCGCCAUGCCACCAAGGCCUCCGUUUCUGUAGCCUCUGCUGCUCUCUGGCAUCUGCACGGUUGCCCCGAAGCCGCUCCGCGACGGCCCUCCCUGAGCUGUGUAGCGCUGGGGGGAGGAGGCGUGGCCACAGUGGGCUGCAUUCAGGAUCUUGAAAGCCACUGAAGCCAUGGCUGGCUCUCAGUCCUCAGGGAGCCUCUUCCCCUGCCUGGCACCAGGCUCCCAGAAUCUGGGAGGCAGCCUCUUCAUCUGGCUGCUGGUGGAGACCUGAGCCCAGCCCCAGGGUCCUCAGUCCUGCCCCUUGUCCUCCGCAAGCUCUCACUACAUCCUACCUAUGUCCAGGGACCUCGGCCCAUGCAUCUGCCCAGAUCCCAGCCUACCCGAGAGCAUGCAUCCCCAACUGGACCAGCACCCAACACAGCCCAGGGCUCCCCUGACCCACAUAAACCUUGUUAAUAUUGC